CCUACGGGAGGCAGCAGUGAGGAAUAUUGGUCAAUGGCCGUAAGGCUGAACCAGCCAAGUCGCGUGAGGGAAGACUGCCCUAUGGGUUGUAAACCUCUUUUAUGCGGGGAUAAAGGUGUCCACGCGUGGAUGUUUGCAGGUACCGCAUGAAUAAGGACCGGCUAAUUCCGUGCCAGCAGCCGCGGUAAUACGGAAGGUACGGGCGUUAUCCGGAUUUAUUGGGUUUAAAGGGAGCGUAGGCCGGUCUUUAAGCGUGCCGGGAAAUUUUGUGGCUCAACCAGGGGAGUGCGGCGCAAACUGGAGACCUUGAGUGCGCGGGAGGCAGGCGGAAUUCGUGGUGUAGCGGUGAAAUGCGUAGAUAUCACGAAGAACCCCGAUUGCGAAGGCAGCCUGCCGCAGCGUUACUGACGCUGAGGCUCGAAAGCGCGGGUAUCGAACAGGAUUAGAUACCCGUGUAGUC
rnacentral:rRNA from 1 species